rnacentral:misc_RNA from 1 species
GAAAUGCGAUAAGUAAUGUGAAUUGCAGAAUUCAGUGAAUCAUCGAAUCUUUGAACGCACAUUGCGCCCGCCAGCACUCUGGCGGGCAUGCCUGUUCGAGCGUCAUUUCAACCCUCAGAACCCCUUGCGGGAUCUGGCGUUGGGGAUUGGCAUCCAGCCAGCCCCGAAAUCUAGUGGCGGUCCCUCCGCGACCUCCCCUGUGCAGUAGCGAUACCUCGCAGCGGGACAGCGGUCUGACCACGCCGUAAAACCCCCAACUUCCCAAGGUUGACCUCGAAUCAGGUAGGAAUACCCGCUGAAGUUAAGC